CCUACGGGAGGCAGCAGUGGGGAAUAUUGGGCAAUGGGCGCAAGCCUGACCCAGCAACGCCGCGUGAAGGAAGAAGGCUUUCGGGUUGUAAACUUCUUUUAUCAGGGACGAAGCAAGUGACGGUACCUGCUGAAUAUGCCACGGCUAACUACGUGCCAGCAGCCGCGGUAAUACGUAGGUGGCAAGCGUUAUCCGGAUUUACUGGGUGUAAAGGGCGUGUAGGCGGGAGAGCAAGUCAGAUGUGAAAACUAUGGGCUCAACCCAUAGCCUGCAUUUGAAACUGUACUUCUUGAGUGCUGGAGAGGCAAUCGGAAUUCCGGGUGUAGCGGUGAAAUGCGUAGAUAUACGGAAGAACACCAGUGGCGAAGGCAGAUUGCUAGACAAUAACUGACGCUGAGGCACGAAAGCGUGGGGAGCAAACAGGAUUAGAUACCCUUGUAGUC
rnacentral:rRNA from 1 species